UGAGGGAAAGACCAUUAGAGAGGGAGGAAGAAAGAGGAAGGGAGAGUGAGAGUGGAGGAGUCUGAGAGAGAUGGGAUAGAAUGUGAGAGCCAAGAAGAAGACUGCCAGCAUCUUGUGGAGCUCUCUCUGUUUACACAGUCUAACACACUGAGACCAUCCCCUGAAGAACUGGGAGGAGAAGGGAGGUGGGGCGUGAGAAAGAAAGAAAACAAGAGGCUAGAGUCAAAAUGCUGGCUCUGAAUCUGGUACCCGUAAUUGAGUUUAGUUUCUGAAUGUCAGGUAUCCAUCCGCACUCCUUCUUGCACAAUCCCAACAUCUGCUGUCAACUUUACAGCGGAAACUCAGACUGACUGGUGAUGAGGCCUGACUACCUUCCUGCUGUGGAGAGCACAAAUGAAGAGUGAAAACAGCCAUCAGUGGUUGUUGUUGUCGUUUCCGACAAGAGAAUCCAUCUGUCAUCUCCUGGAGCACCGGCUCCGGUUGCUGGCGGGGCCAGAAGCUGAGAAUAGAACUACAGGGAAUGCCAUCCUAGGUGAGGAGGUCUUCCAGACUGGGACAGAGACUGUCCACAGCACCGUUGGCCACGGGGAGGUCUGUGGAAGGCGGAUCACCGUAGUUGACACCCCACCCUGGAUUACACCCCGUGACUCAGCAGAUAAUGCUACCGGGGCCCACCAGAGAGGGCAAGCGAGGAGGGACUGUGUGUCAGUGCCACACUCUGCCCCUCAGGGCCCCACACGCUUCUACUGGGGGACCCCGUGUCACAGCCCUUCAGAGGGCCACAGGAAGGCUGCAGAGAAGCAGAUGGGUCAUCUAGGAGGAGGGCCUUGAAGGUGCCCUUCACUGGGGUGGACAAGCUACCUGAAGGAACAUUUGUGGAUGAGUUCAUCACAGCUGGGGAGCCCCUUCAGUGGCUGGUGGAGAGGGGAGGUAACAGAUACCAUGGCCUGGAUUGUAACACACAGCAGAGUGAGGAUGACAAUAUGGUGAAGACACAGGUUCAGGAGCUUCUGGAGAAGGCAGAGGAGCUGGUUAAAGACAACCAUGGCUGGUAUUUUGCAGCUAGGAGUAGGAGCAGGCAAGGAGGGCGGUUGAGGAGGGUGAGGGAGAAGGCACAGAGGGUCCGGAUGAUCUUUGCACUUUGUCGGGCUGGAAAAGAGUGGAAAAAAGUUGACAGGAACACCAUCUUAGAUCAGAGGGCCUUUUUAGUCGAGGACAGAGAUGGAGCAGAGCCUGAGGAGGCAGGCUGAUGUGGUCGGAGGCAAGGUCACCAUAGUAGACACCCUCAACUGGGACUGGGUUUCUGUGAGGCGCACAAUGAAGCAAAGGGCCACCCUCCUCCAGCCCAGCCGCCAUAUAACCACCACAGGUUCUAGGAUAGGGUAGGGUCAGAGACCUGAACUGGGUACCGGAAUGGAAAACACGCAACACAGGAUUAUCAAAAAUAGUUUUAUUACAAAGAUCAUGUACAAACAGGGCUGUACGGGGUGGGCUUGGAAUCGCACCUAAAAGGAAAGUUAGUGUCUCAGUCUAAAGCACAAAAUGGCUACUGCAAUAAUUUAGUGGUUACAUGCAAUGUUCAAGUCUUUAAAGUAUCUUAGUCGGCACAGCAAAGCACACACUGUAAUCAAUAAGGAUGAAAUAUCAUAAGGUCUUCAGACUAAAGUGCACAUGCAAUAAAUAGGCAAGCCCCUUAAAUGUAACAAUAGAUGCCAAACACAAGAAUGACCUCGCUGGCUGUCUACACAGCUAAACACAAGUGUACUCCGGAUACUUACAGCUAACACAGAGACUGUAUAUAGAAGAUGUCCUCUGUGAAUGGAAGUUCGCAAGCUACGAUAGGUCUAGUGUGAGACAGCAACAGCUCCAUCCCUGUCUUUCCUUUUUGCUGCUCCAGGAAAUGCACAACCAUUUUGUAGGAACAGGUGGAGGUGCUUUCUGCUGAGCCACUUCUGCCACCAAUCAGAACACUCAAACAAUUCAUUCAGACAGACCAAUAGGAAAGCAUAUACAAAUCACAUGACAACCAUAAUUACUCAAAAAGAGGCAGCUUUACACCCACACCAUCAUCCUGGUGCUGUCCUUGGUCACUGACCUCAAGAGGCAUGGUUCCACACCAUGGUGCUGUUCACCUGCCGGGCUUGGCUGAGCCACACAGUUGUUGAGGAGCACAUUCAGAGGGGAGGGCUUGAGUUCCGCAGUUUGGAUCUGCUGGACAAAAUAGAGGAAAUUCAGACUGAAUGGUGAUGAGGCCUUCUUGCCCGUACACAGAGAUUAUGGGUCAGCCAUAGUAGAACAGCACUCCUGGAGCAUAUGCGGGUUAAGUGCCUUGAUCAAAGGCACAUCGACAGAACAUCCGUGUGUUGUUGAAUCCUACUGCAGCUGGAGAGAGAGACAGUUCUGACAUAUGGAAUUGUUUUAAGAUGGUCACACUAUGGAUUAUUUUCUAUUUCAUUUAUAAUUUUAAGACCCUUUUAGAUAUAAAGAAUAUAUACUUUUUUUUGUUUAUAAAAUAUAGAAUUUGGCCUUUACUACUAUAGCCCAGAUCAACGCAUUGAAUAACACAUUCAUAAAUGGCAAAAAAAGAUAGUAAAAAAAAGUAUCAUAAGAAACAAGGUUUUGAAGUGUUUGUCCUAUAUCUAGGAGAUAUAAGAAAAGUAUAAUAAAUAUGAGUCUCAGUCAA